CAGUUUUUUUUCUUUAAAUUUGGAACUGUGGUGUAACUAUUGCACAUCUAGGUGGAAUGGUUUAAUAAUUAUAUGUGGACCAUAAGGUGUGAUAUCUUUAGUAAUGGAUGCAUUCUAAAAACCUAUCCUGUGCUAUGUAGGUGAAUCUUGAUAUGGUGCAGCAAUUUGUAGAUGCUUGUCUUUCUUUCACUGGCAAAGAUGAAAGUGGUCGCUGCAUGGAGGUGAACCUUGUAUUUAAUUGAAUUAUGAAGUCAUGAUAGAAAUUCAUAGUAUUGUUAUUUGUUUUAUUAUUAUGAAUCCAUUGAGUGGAAAGAUGUGGAGUUUUUCUUGUUGAAGGCCACACUCGCACAACUCUAAAAAAACAAGUAGUUUAAUUAUAAGAAAUUGUGAUUUGUAGUAUUUUGAACGAAGACACUCGAUGGGACAGGCCUUCGUAUACACCCUUAGUGGUCAUUUUCUUUUACAUGGUCUAGGCUUUUUAUUAUCUUCUUAGAAAUGAACAUGGUCUAGACUUUUUGAUUUUGAUUGUUCCUUAAAAGUUGAAAAUUGUGUCAAGUAAGAGAAUAGGGAGGUGUAUGUUUUCUGAUUUUGUUAAUGCUUUGAGGAUCAAUAGAGGUAGGCUGCUGAGAAUAUGUCAAGUCAUUCUUUAGUGCAAUUUUAAUCGCUUAGAGUAGUUGCAGAAAAGGCAGUGAUCGGAAAGGCUUUUCAAUGAAUUCUUAUGUUCCUUGGUUUGCUACUUUUGAUUACGACUGCAUAUGCUUUGUUAUGUUUGUUAUUCUUAUAUUUAGAGUACUCCUAGUUUGAACUUAACCCAGUUUCCAGUAGGUAUAUUUUGCUAUAUGAAUUGGGACCUGCUAUGUUAAGGUGGAUGACAAUGGUAAAUAUUAGUUCUUUGACAUUGAUCUAAUGCAUUUGAUGUGCAGAAAGUUUUCCCAAUUUAUUAUACUUCAUCAUCUGAAGUUGUAACUUCUUUUGAAGGAUCUGAUGGGAAAAAAAUUUGGUGAUCUUUCUGCAAGAUGUUGAACCGACAUCGUCUUUUUUAUUGUGUUGAUACUGCUGUACAUAAAUUCUUUUGCAAAAUAGGCAGUGAUCAGGGAGGCUUUUCAUUGAAUUCUUAUGCUACUUGCUUUGCUGCUUCUGAUGGUGAGAGCCUAUGCUUUAUAUAUGAAGAUUGAUACUAUUUUUUCUCCUCUUUAGCAUGAUGCUCCAUUCUAGUAUCAUAAUUUUCUUUCCAAAUGAAUAUUCUUACACACAAGUCUGAUUUUUUUUCCCAUGAGAUUUACUUCCUUGUAGGACUGCUUUUAAUGUUUUUUAUUGUAUAAGUUCUAUACUCCUAGUUUGAACUUUAAUCCAGUUUCCACUAGAUAUCUGUUGCUAUUGGCAUUUGACCUAUAUGUGUCUGUUUCUUUCAUCUCCUGUUUAUGCUUCCUUUUUGUCUGUCAAUUUUAACUAUGGUUAUGUAUGCUUGCUUUACACCAGCUACAUCAAAAUUCAAAAUACAGCCAUUAAGAUGAAUUGCAUACUUACCGAGCAAGUUUUGUCUUAAUAGGAGAGGCUCUGUUACUGACUUUUCUUUGUUGGAAAUUGUUUCUAAAACUCAUGGGGAACCAAAUGGAUAUUGUAAGUUUUUCAGGUAAAACUCUUUUGAGUUUUAGUUCGUAGCAUCCAUUAGGAUAGGUAUAAAACUACAAACUUGGUGGAUAAAAAUGUGAUAAGUCAUCUUUUCUACACUCAGUACCUCUACUUAUUCUUAUGUACUCUUGUGACGUCUGACGGAGUCAUCUGUUAAUAGGGGUGGAUGUUGAUCUGAAACCAUUCUAGAGGGCUUCAGAUCAACUAUAUCUUUUUUCAGAUUUGGCAACAAGAGCUUUGUAGAUGAAAGGCACCAUUGUAGGAAGGGAUGCAUGCUAAAAACUUUUCCUGUGCUAUGUUGGUGAAUCUUGAAAUGGCGCUUCUAUUUGAAGAUGCUGGCCUUUCUUUCACUGGCAAAGAUGAAAGUGGUCGCCGCAUACAGGCAUUUCUAGGCAUUUUAUCUAUGGCUCCGAAUGCUUACUUUACACCAUCGACAUCAAAAUACAGCCAUUCAGGUGAUAUACAUGCUUUCCCAGCAAGCUUCUGCUUAAAAGGAGGGCUCUGAGCUCUAUUUCAGACGUUUCUUUGUUAGAAAUUGUUACUAAACUCACAGGAGGCCAAAUGAAUAUCGUAAGGUUUUAAAGAUCCCAUUCUUUUGAGUUUUAUAUGGUAGUAUCCAUAAGGAUGAGUAUAAAACUACUAACCUGGUUUUUGUUCUUGCCAUUGUUUAUAGGACGGCAAGAGUUUGUACCUUGGAAUUGAUGAUUGUUGACAAAAUGUUUGUACAACAAGUAAUAUGUAUAAGACUACCUGAUAGUGAUAAGACUACCUGAUAGUGAUAGAUGAGUUGACUGUUGUUUGCUAAUAAGGAACUCCCUAGGAAUUUUUCUUUUUGCAGUCAUUGUUCCUGAUGCUUUUACAAACAACUAGUUCGAAGGAAGAAAAUGCAUUCCAAGUACUUGUAAUUUUCCUCAAACUCAAACAAGUAAAAAAUAUUAUUUACAUACUUAGUUUCUUAAGUUGUAUACUGUCCUGAUUGAUCUUUUGGUUUACAUGUAUAAUCUGGAAGCCCAAAGAGGGUCUUGCAUUCUCUGAAAGAGUCUCUGCUGGAAAUCGCCCUUGUGCAUUCCGAUGUCUCCUUCAAAAUUGUUGUUAUUGAAAGGUCCAUUUUUUAAACACCAAUUAAUUUAAGAAUAUUUCCAGGCUGGUUUCUUAGAUUUUUUAAAUUUGUAUGCACUGGAUGACCUGCUUUGCACAUGUGCUUCUACUUCUUUGUUGCCGCUACUGGUCAGUGGGUUAGGGAUUCCUCUGAGUUCCCUUACCAAAUUGAAUGCAAGUGAGGGUUCAUUCAAGCUCUCUGGAUACAUCUAAGGUCCUAUGUUUACACUGGGAAGGUAUACAGGCCCAAAUUGAUGGAUAAGAGAUGUGAAAAGAAUCUUAAGAAUUAUUUUGUAUCAUGAGCUAUGCUCUCCUCUAGGGUUGAUGGGGACUCGCAGGAAUAAGUUCUAUGCUGGAAAUAGAGGUAAAACGGUUGAUCUUACUAGGAAGACAAAGAGUAGAAGAAAUCAUUCAGCUUCCCAUUUUAACAAGGCAAGAAUAAGUUCUUUGCCAUGAGUGAGUCUUCAAGAAAGGCAGCAGUAAAUAACAGUAUUAAGAAUGUUCAUGCUGUGCCACUCAUGGCAGGUAAUAUGUCCUAGAGUUAUUGUUUAUGUCAAUAAUCAAUGAUGACAGAAAAUGUGUGCAACUAAUUAACGUUCUGUUCAUUGUGCUGAAACUAGAGCAAUAAGGAGACUGCAUCAUUCUGCAGAAGCUAUCUGCUGGGAGCUUCCACAGCAGUAUGAUCAAUCUUCCACCCCAAGUUGUGAUAACGGUGUAUUCUCUGAUGAAAGAUAAUGUUAUCAAAUUUCUUGGGAGGGUUAGGUACUAACCUGAUGUUUAUCUCUUUAGGCUAAGUAUGAAAAGGGAAUUAUUAACAUCUGGAAUAGCAAAUUACAAGCUCAAGGGGAGAGCACAGGUACACGCGAUGGGGUGUCGAGAUAAGGUUAACUAUUCCUGCCAUUUGUUCCUGACCUGAAUAAACCUGAAUUUUCCUAGUGCGUAAUUCGGUCAAUUUGCUUCAUUUCUUUCACUCUGCACCGUUUGUAAACCAUGAGGAUGUGGAGGUUUGUCUUCUAUGGAAGUUCAAAAAACUUUGUUUUGUUUCGAGUUGAUUAAACUGUUAUUGGGACGGAACCUCAGGUAGAUCUAUGAAAUAUUGGAAUUAAAUUUCCAUUACAUGGUGUUUCUUCUCCAUCUCAUACGGCUAACUGAUGCUUUAGCCACAAAGGUUUCAAUGCUUUUGAGCUAAUCAUGUUUUGGCUUCACAAAGUUCGGUUCAUUUCCUGGUGUUUUUUCAGUCUCACAAGACUAUCUGAAUGCUCGCAGCCAUGACAGGUUUGUAAGCUAUUGAGUUGAUUUGUGUUUUGACUUGACAAAGUUCAGUUUCUUUCCCACCCUCACUGAACUACCCUUUUCAUGAUGAUACACAUAUACUCCGUCUUUUGAUAUUUUUACUACUCACUUUGCUCCGUUUUAAACACAAUGAAGAUUUGGAGGUUUUCAUAGCUGAAGACUGUUGCUUGGCACGAAAUUUCAGGUGGGUCUAUGAGAUUUUUGGAGAAGUUCCAUUUUUUGGUCUUUCUUCUCUGUCUCAUAGGCAAACUGAUGUUUGUAGCCAUGCUGGGUUUCAAAGCUUUUGAGCUAAUCGUGUUUGGGUGUCGCAAAGUUCAAAUUUUUUUGUUGUAAUUCUUUCCUUUGGUGAAACUACACAACCAUUUACUUUGCUUGUUCUUAUUACUAUCUCUUGUACGACUCAAAAAAAGCAAUUUAGCAUGUUCUCUCUUGAGCAGAAAAACUGUUGCUCGGUAUGACACUUCAGGUGGGUAUAUGAGAUUUUAGGAGAAAGUUCCAUUUCGUGGUGCAUCUUCUCUGUCUCGUUAGGCAGGCUAACUGAUGCUUGCAGCCAUAAAAGAUUUCAAAGCUUUUGAGUUGAUUCAUGUUCUGGCUUGGCAAAGUUCAGUUUCCUUUCACCCCUCCACAAACCACCCUAUUCGUGAAAUUAUACAUGACCUUCCUCUUUUCUUACUCUUAUUUAUCUCUCUGCUUUGUUUUAUAAACCAUGAGGAUGUUGAGGUUUUGUCUUCUAUGGAAGUUCAAUAAAACUCGUUUUCUCUCGAGCUGAAAAACUGUUGGUUGGCAUGGCACCUCAGGUGGGUCUAUGAGAUUUUGGAAUUAAAAUUCCAAUUCAUGGUGUUUCUUCUGACUUUGCACUGUGUCCUUGUUAUACUAGUCUGUGGAACUUGAUAAAAUUGCCGUUUACCAGAAGUUCCAUUGCAUAAACUUUGCAACAUUCACUAAAGUUAACCCUAACACUGAGCAUGGAGUUGUAUGUUUUUGGUUAAAGCAGGAACUUAAAUCUGAUCCACAAGCAGCCAACAUCUGUCACACUUGUUGCGGUAACAUUCUCCAAUACUUGUCUCUGUCAUAUUAUACAUUCAAAAAGUUAAGUACAUGUAUACUGUUUGCAAAUCAGUCUAAGAAGGGGGGAAAGGUUUUGCUGUACUGAUUCUAAUUGUUAAUACAAGAUUAGUUGGUUGGUUACCUACAUUCUCAAACCUUUUACUACACUUCAUAGCUUAUUCUCUUCAAAAUUCAUAUUUGUCCCUCUGAAGGAUAUAUGCCUGUCUAAAUGUGGAAAACAAAGCAUGACAAUCACUUCUUCCAUUCUGAGGUAUCAAUAACAGUUUAGAUCAAUUCUGUGCUCCAUCGUGUUGAAAGCCAGAAGCAUUUUUGAGGGUUCAAGGCUGAAUUUCAAGUGUCAUUUGUGUGUAUUUUCUCUUGAGAUCCAUUUUAUGUUCUAAUUGGGUUGAUUAUAGUAACUUAUAAGGGAAGAGCUUUUUUGUUCUUAAUACCAUCAGUAACAAGCCAAUGCUAGAGGUACUCUUUUUUUGAACUGUAAGACCUUGAAGCUUUAAUAGUUUCCAACUUACUUUGGAAAAUUAUUUAUGACCAUCAUUCAUGUUAUAUGAAAUACUCCACUAGCUAACAAGAUUCUCUUGCACGUGUUUCAUAAGAAAAUAAUUGUACAGGUUCCUUGUAUUUUGUGCAUUAAUCUAACAGUCUUGUGGAUCUGUUAGAAUUUAUUCAACAGGUUAGUCCAUCGACGCUAACUAGCUCCCAUAUUUAACUCCUUCAUUUAACUCUAGCAUUUCUCAUGGAAUCCUUGCUCAAGUGUCGUGUCAUGUGUCUCUGAAUAAUGUAUUUGCAACCGACAGCUUGCUGCUACAGAUGGAUCAUCAAUUGUACCCCCAUCAGUGAAUAAACAAGGCUUGCAAGUUCAAGUUAAUAUUUAAUUUUUGAAUCUGGAGCUACCGACAGCUUGCUGCUACAGAUGGAUCAUCAAUUGUACCCCCAUCAGUGAAUAAACAACGCUUGCAAGUUCAAGUUAAUAUUUAAUUUUUGAAUCUGGAGCUACCUUGAUGCUCUCUCGCCUCCCCCCAUAAGAAAAAGAGCGAACAUGAUUAGAAUCAAAGGUCUCCAGGUAGAGUCAAGGUAUUGCAGAAGUCAAAAAAUUUCAGAAAAAUCUUCAUUUACUUGAGGACAUUAUGGAGGAAGAUGAUCAUCUUAUGGAUUCCGAUAAACAGACAGAAAAUUAUGGUUCUGGCCUGCUAUCUUUUAGUCCAGUCUCCUCUGCUACCAGAUGCUUUGCUGGGGACCAGGUUUGAAGUCUGAAGAUGGGAUUGAAUUUUCUACUAAACAUGAAGUUCUGAAACAUGGAACAUUAUCUAAAGAGGAUUGCUUGUUCCCAAAUCCUGCAAAGUUUGAUCUAAAUUGUUAUCUUCUUUUCAGAGAGGAGCCAGUAUAUCCAUGGGAUGUUUAUAGUUGAGCUACUUCUGAAUUCUAAUAAUAAGAAUUCUUUUUUUGUUUCUUUUCUUUUAAAAAAA